rnacentral:tRNA from 1 species
GGGGUUGUGGCUCAUUGGUAGAGUGCUUGCCUAGCACGCUUGAGACACUGGGUUCAAUCCCUGGCACCACUU